CCCAACCACCGCUCCACCUCAUCCCCCUCGUCGGCGACGCGGCCCCGCCGGCAGAAGACCGCGGCGCAGCUUCCGUCCGCUCGCCGCUCGCCGCUCGCCGCCCGAGUAGUGGCAGGCACCGCGAGCGCGAGGUAUUUGUCCUGUCCACGUCGCUACUUUACGGAACGGCUCCGCUACGUACGCAUUCUCUCCCUCCCGGGCGGCACGGCGUCGUGUGUCCGGUGGCAAACUAAUUGUGGCCGUGCCCGUGCGCGGCCGCUCGCCGGCGCCGCCGUGGCUGUACUUAUUCCUUGCUUCUUCACGGGCCGGGCAGGAGAAAGCAGUACUAGCUGGUUGCGGUGCCAACUUAACUGGCGUGGAAAGUGGAAACCAGACAUUGCCUGCAGUAGUUCCUGAGUACUGCUUGUCAUAGUCCAUUGCUUUGGACUGCAAUACGGCCGCCGAUUUACUUGGAUGGCGCGGUUAGUUUCUGCUUUAUUCUCGAGCUGCACAUCUGAAGAGCCACACAUUUUUUAGGGUGAAAGCAGGUCCAAGAAGAGGGGAAUGCAUAUACAACUUUCCUGAACAUCACUAACUGUUGUUGCAAUGUAUCUGAACUAAAAAUUCUUACCACCAGAUUUCCUAUGUAAGUACCUAAAUGCUCGUCACAUAUCUGUGUUGGGCAAAUAUUCAUUGAUAAACUUG